rfam:Hordeum vulgare subsp. vulgare, WGS project CAJW01000000 data, contig: morex_contig_362318
CCCGUUGACGAAGAUGAGGUUGUCUCUCAUAUACUGCACGGUCUAGAUUCAGAUUACAACUCCUUUGUGUCUGCAAUCUCGACC